UACAGAGGGGGCAAGCGUUGUUCGGAAUUACUGGGCGUAAAGCGCGCGCAGGCGGUUCUUCAAGUCAGUGGUGAAAGCCCGGAGCUCAACUCCGGAAAUGCCAUUGAAACUGUAGAACUUGAGGACGAGAGAGGUGAGUGGAAUUCCCAGUGUAGAGGUGAAAUUCGUAGAUAUUGGGAAGAACACCGGUGGCGAAGGCGGCUCACUGGCUCGUUUCUGACGCUCAGGCGCGAUAGCGUGGGGAUCAAACAGG
rnacentral:rRNA from 1 species